UCAAAUAUCAGAGAGGUGGAGAGGGAGAGAAAUACUACGCCCGUGCCUUUGAGGAGGGACCUGGGUUUCAACCCCAGUUUCACCAUUUCCUGGCCCCCUUAACUAUGUCAGCAAAUAAUUGGAGGACAUAUUAUGUGCCAAACCUUGGGGAUAAAACAGUGAACAAGAUUGACAAGAUGCCUGGCCUCAUGGAGCUGGUGUUCUAGCCAGCAAGUCCAAGCUCAGAGAGGUGAAGUAAUUUGUCCAAGGACACACAGCAAAUAAGAAGCCAAACCAUAAGAGCCAGUGAUCUUAAGAGUGAUGACACCAUCCUGCCCCUCUGGAGGCAUCUCGGAGAUAGAAGGGGAGAUGAAAAUCCCAGGCCUUCCAGGUGGCUCCAACUGUGCUAGGAGUUUGAGUCUGAAAAUAGGCCUCCAACUGGGAUCUCUGUUGAAAGGACAGCAGACCACCAGCGUUGGGAGUUGUUGGGAGCUCCUACCCUAGAGUACCUUGGAAGCUCCCAAGGAAAGGGAGAGAGACGGAAAAGGCAAAGAUUCUACCUAUUGACUACUACAAAGGAACGUGAAGAUUUAGCUCUCAUAUUGCCUUCCACAUUUUUCUGCACCGCUUUUGUUUAUAUCAUAAGUCUGCAUUUACAAUACGAGAAGCACGAAACAAAUUAUUCAGGCUGAGUCAAGAGUGUACUGUGAUUAUAAUUCCUUUGCUAGAUGUUCUGUUUUUCCUGGGGUAAGUGUUGCUUGGUUUUUUACGUGCUUAAUUUUCUACGCAUCUAUCACUAAUUCAUCUAUCUAUCAUUAAUUCCCCUUAAUCUUUCCUUGAAGCGAAAAAUAAUCUAAAGAUUUGGCUUCCCAUCCAGAUAAGAAUACUUUCAAAAAGACUCACAGACUUAUAUAAAAAAUACGUGGUUUCUUCAACAAAUAAACAGCUUGAAAAAAAGCAGGGGGAGGGGAAAAUGUUAUAAAAGAGACUUAAGAGACAUAGCAGUCAAAUGCCACGUGUGGGCCUUGUUGGGAUCCUCAUCCAAACAAACCAACUGCACAGAGGCGUUUUAAGAUAACUGGGGGUAGUCUGAACAUUGAUUGGUCCUUAGCAUAGACUAAAGAAUAAACCUGUUUGGACUAGGUGAAUAAUGGCAUAGUGGGUCAUGUUUUAAAAAUUCCUUAUCUGUUAGAGCUACUUACUAAAAUGUUUAUGUGUGAAAUGAUAUCGUAUCUAAGAUUUACUUUUAAAACACUCCAGGCAAAAAAGCGGGUUUGGAAGAUACAUGAAAUACUGGCAAAAUGUUGAGAAUUAUUCGUUAUCAGUGGAGGGAGAUGGGUACGUCCUUAUACUAUCCUCUCUACUCUUGUGUAUGGUUGGAAUUUUCCAUAAUAAAAACUUUUAAAUGAAAAAUAAAUUCACAAAGAAAUGGAAGAAAGGAAAAGAUUGCACAGGGUUGGCUGUGCAUUUUGUGAGCUGGUUGCAGAAAUCAAACAUUUUAUGUAUUGGGUACUAGCCCACUUUGGAGGGGCAGGGAUACAGAACUCAGGUUUCUGAAGCCCACUGACCUUCCCAGGCUGCCCCAGAG